rnacentral:rRNA from 1 species
GAUGAACGCUGGCGGCGUGCCUAAUACAUGCAAGUCGGGCGAACAGACGAGGAGCUUGCUCCUCUGACGUUAGCGGCGGACGGGUGAGUAACACGUGGAUAACCUACCUAUAAGACUGGGAUAACUUCGGGAAACCGGAGCUAAUACCGGAUAAUAUAUUGAACCGCAUGGUUCAAUAGUGAAAGACGGUUUUGCUGUCACUUAUAGAUGGAUCCGUGCCGCAUUAGCUAGUUGGUAAGGUAACGGCUUACCAAGGCAACGAUGCGUAGCCGACCUGAGAGGGUGAUCGGCCACACUGGAACUGAGACACGGUCCAGACUCCUACGGGAGGCAGCAGUAGGGAAUCUUCCGCAAUGGGCGAAAGCCUGACGGAGCAACGCCGCGUGAGUGAUGAAGGUCUUCGGAUCGUAAAACUCUGUUAUUAGGGAAGAACAAAUGUGUAAGUAACUAUGCACGUCUUGACGGUACCUAAUCAGAAAGCCACGGCUAACUACGUG